rnacentral:lncRNA from 1 species
UUCUGGACUGUUCUCUGAGACAAGCAUCCAAAGCUCAUCUCUCUCCUCCACAAUCUCUCUCCGUCUCUCACUCUCUCUUGUGUACAGUUCCACCGCCAACGCCAAGCUUUCUCGGUAACAUAUACAUCCAUAUAUAUGCAAAUAAUUGAUUUGUUCUGUUGCUUCUAUUAGUUACCUUAUAUUUUUGUGCUUAAUAUCUGCUUGUAGCUUAGGCUUUGUCCGAUUCAAGCUUGUUAUCUCUCUCCCCCUCUCUCUCCCUCUCCCUCUCCCUAUCUCUCUCUCUCACACUCUUUNUCUGCCUCUUUCACUCUCGCUCUCUCCCUCUCUCUUCAUCUCUCUCUCCCCUUGUGCGUGUCAUAGUCUUAAAGUUGAAGAUUAUCCAUAUGUUAUCAUUUUAUGUAGUUCGUGUUAUAGCAUAUUUGCGAUGCAGUUGAAUUCUCUGAUGUUCGUAAUGUUUUAAACUUUAAUUGUGUUACUUGAUAAGUAUUCGAAACAGAACAGGUCCUGUGAAAGCGUAUUAGCAUAAGUCCCGUAGAUAGAUGUUUUAUUUCCGUGA